rnacentral:rRNA from 1 species
CCUACGGGUGGCAGCAGUGGGGAAUAUUGCACAAUGGUGGAAACCCUGAUGCAGCGACGCCGCGUGAGUGAAGAAGUAUUUCGGUAUGUAAAGCUCUAUCAGCAGGGAAGAAAUAGCGACCUUUGGUUCGCCAGACGGUACCUGACUAAGAAGCCCCGGCUAACUACGUGCCAGCAGCCGCGGUAAUACGUAGGGGGCAAGCGUUAUCCGGAGUUACUGGGUGUAAAGGGAGCGUAGACGGCAGCACAAGUCUGAAGUGAAAUGCCGGGGCUUAACCCCGGAAGUGCUUUGGAAACUGUGCAGCUAGAGUGCAGGAGAGGUAAGGGGAAUUCCUAGUGUAGCGGUGAAAUGCGUAGAUAUUAGGAGGAACACCAGUGGCGAAGGCGGCUUACUGGACUGUAACUGACGUUGAGGCUCGAAAGCGUGGGGAGCAAACAGGAUUAGAUACCCUAGUAGUC